rnacentral:rRNA from 1 species
GACGAACGCUGGCGGCGUGCUUAACACAUGCAAGUCGAACGGAAAGGCCCUGCUUUUGUGGGGUGCUCGAGUGGCGAACGGGUGAGUAACACGUGAGUAACCUGCCCUUGACUUUGGGAUAACUUCAGGAAACUGGGGCUAAUACCGGAUAGGAGCUCCUGCUGCAUGGUGGGGGUUGGAAAGUUUCGGCGGUUGGGGAUGGACUCGCGGCUUAUCAGCUUGUUGGUGGGGUAGUGGCUUACCAAGGCUUUGACGGGUAGCCGGCCUGAGAGGGUGACCGGCCACAUUGGGACUGAGAGACGGACCAGACGCCUUCGGGAGGCAGCAGUGGGGAAUAUUGCACAAUGGGCGGAAGCCUGAUGCAGCAACGCCGCGUGCGGGAUGACGGCCUUCGGGUUGUAAACCGCUUUCGCCUGUGACGAAGCGUGAGUGACGGUAAUGGGUAAAGAAGCACCGGCUAACUACGUG